GUCGAGCGGUAGCACAGAGAGCUUGCUCUCGGGUGACGAGCGGCGGACGGGUGAGUAAUGUCUGGGAAACUGCCUGAUGGAGGGGGAUAACUACUGGAAACGGUAGCUAAUACCGCAUAACGUCGCAAGACCAAAGUGGGGGACCUUCGGGCCUCAUGCCAUCAGAUGUGCCCAGAUGGGAUUAGCUAGUAGGUGGGGUAACGGCUCACCUAGGCGACGAUCCCUAGCUGGUCUGAGAGGAUGACCAGCCACACUGGAACUGAGACACGGUCCAGACUCCUACGGGAGGCAGCAGUGGGGAAUAUUGCACAAUGGGCGCAAGCCUGAUGCAGCCAUGCCGCGUGUAUGAAGAAGGCCUUCGGGUUGUAAAGUACUUUCAGCGGGGAGGAAGGCGAUAAGGUUAAUAACCUUGUCGAUUGACGUUACCCGCAGAAGAAGCACCGGCUAACUCCGUGCCAGCAGCCGCGGUAAUACGGAGGGUGCAAGCGUUAAUCGGAAUUACUGGGCG
rnacentral:rRNA from 1 species